rnacentral:lncRNA from 1 species
GGGGCAGUGGCUCACACCUGUAAUCCCAGCACUUUGGGAGGCUGAGGUGGGCGGAUCACCUGAGGCCAGGAGUUCUCGAGACCAGCCUGGCCAACAUGGUGAAACCCCAUCUCUACUAAAAAUACAAACAUCAGCCAGGUGUGGUGACACAUGCCACUAGUCCCAGCUACUCGGGAGGCUGAGGCAGGAGAAUCGCUUGAACCCGGGAGGCGGAGGUUGCAGUGAGCCGAAAUCACACCACUGCACUCCAGCCUGGGUGAAAGAGCAAGACUCUGUCUCAAAAAAAAAACAAAAAAACAACAAAAAAAACUCCGGUGCACUGCUUGGCAUGGAGAAGGCACCCCAGCAGAACAGCAGAAGAUGUAAGGAGCUGUCAGUAACUAGCAAUGUUCUAGUGACUGUGCAACCCAGUGAAAUGUAGGCGUUGUUAUGGUUUCCAUUUUAACAGUUUAGGUGAUUGGGCUCAGAGAGAUUUCUAACAUGCCCAAGGUGACAUGGCUAGUAGGUGG